rnacentral:tRNA from 1 species
GUUAGGGUGGCAAAGCCAGGUAAUGCAAUAGGCCUAAAACCUCUACCACAGAGGUUCAAAUCCUCUUCCUAACA